UACGGAGGGUGCAAGCGUUAUCCGGAUUCACUGGGUUUAAAGGGUGCGUAGGUGGGCAGUUAAGUCAGUGGUGAAAUCUCCGGGCUUAACCCGGAAACUGCCAUUGAUACUAUCUAUCUUGAAUAUUGUGGAGGUAAGCGGAAUAUGUCAUGUAGCGGUGAAAUGCUUAGAUAUGACAUAGAACACCUAUUGCGAAGGCAGCUUACUACGCAUAUAUUGACGCUGAGGCACGAAAGCGUGGGGAUCAAACAGG
rnacentral:rRNA from 1 species